CGUAGGUAACCUGCCCCGGAGCGGGGGAUAACAUUUGGAAACAGAUGCCAAUACCGCAUAACAAUAAAAGCCGCAUGGCUUUUAUUUGAAAGAUGGCUUUGGCUAUCACUCUGGGAUGGACCUGCGGUGCAUUAGCUAGUUGGUAAGGUAACGGCUUACCAAGGCGAUGAUGCAUAGCCGAGUUGAGAGACUGAUCGGCCACAAUGGAACUGAGACACGGUCCAUACUCCUACGGGAGGCAGCAG
rnacentral:rRNA from 1 species